AAAAGGACAAGUGAUUUACCUUGGAUGACCGAUUGAUAAACUGUAAAUAAGGAUUCAAACAGGUAUAUAUACUUUUUUGGAAUAGCAAUGUGAAUGUAGAGGCCAGAAAAAUGAAGCAGAUGGUAUUGGAGUAGAACUUCCCAAGACUGCUCUCCGAAGGCUAACAACAGGUUAAGAAUUUUCAAAGCAGAGAAAAGGCCACUGUUUUCCGGAAGAGGCUUGAUUCCCUCAAUUAGUGGUCUAUGCUUGCUGUGUAGUGAUAAGAAGUCCAUUCUGUAAAGAAAGUUCUUGGAGAUGCAUGUUGUAAUUGCCAUGUGAUGAUGAACAAAAGCCCACCAAGCAUUGUUGACAACUUA